AGAGUUUGAUCCUGGCUCAGAACGAACGCUGGCGGCGUGCUUAACACAUGCAAGUCGAACGCGAACAGUUUCUUCGGAAACCUAGUAGAGUGGCGCACGGGUGAGUAACGCGUAAGUUAUCUACCCUCCCAUCUGGAAUAACUCACCGAAAGGUGUGCUAAUACCGGAUACGUUGGAAACAAGAAAGGUGGCCUCUAUUUAUAAGCUACCGUGGGGGGAUGAGCUUGCGUACCAUUAGCUAGUUGGUAGGGUAAUGGCCUACCAAGGCGACGAUGGUUAGCGGGUCUGAGAGGAUGAUCCGCCACACUGGAACUGGAACACGGACCAGACUCCUACGGGAGGCAGCAGUGAGGAAUAUUGCGCAAUGGGGGAAACCCUGACGCAGCGACGCCGCGUGGAUGAUGAAGGCCUUUGGGUCGUAAAAUCCUGUCAGAUGGAAAGAAAUGCUAUAGUAUUAAUACUGCUAUAGUUUGACGGUACCAUCAAAGGAAGCACCGGCUAACUCCGUGCCAGCAGCCGCGGUAAU
rnacentral:rRNA from 1 species